UACACGCAUGUCUGUAAGUUGCUUUGUAUAAAAGUGUCUGCUAAAUUGUAUAUA
rfam:Salmo salar isolate Sally breed double haploid chromosome ssa12, whole genome shotgun sequence.